rnacentral:rRNA from 1 species
CGUACACUCCUACGGGAGGCAGCAGUGGGGAAUAUUGGACAAUGGGCGAAAGCCUGAUCCAGCAAUGCCGCGUGAGUGAUGAAGGCCUUAGGGUUGUAAAGCUCUUUUACCCGGGAUGAUAAUGACAGUACCGGGAGAAUAAGCCCCGGCUAACUCCGUGCCAGCAGCCGCGGUAAUACGGAGGGGGCUAGCGUUGUUCGGAAUUACUGGGCGUAAAGCGCGCGUAGGCGGCUUUGUAAGUUAGAGGUGAAAGCCCGGAGCUCAACUUCGGAAUUGCCUUUAAGACUGCAUCGCUAGAAUCGUGGAGAGGUGAGUGGAAUUCCGAGUGUAGAGGUGAAAUUCGUAGAUAUUCGGAAGAACACCAGUGGCGAAGGCGACUCACUGGACACGUAUUGACGCUGAGGUGCGAAAGCGUGGGGAGCAAACAGGAUUAGAUACCCCAGUAGUCCCAUG